rnacentral:rRNA from 1 species
UACGUAGGGUGCGAGCGUUAAUCGGAAUUACUGGGCGUAAAGCGUGCGCAGGCGGUUUUGUAAGCCAGAUGUGAAAUCCCCGGGCUUAACCUGGGAACCGCAUUUGUGACUGCAUAGCUGGAGUACGGCAGAGGGGGAUGGAAUUCCGCGUGUAGCAGUGAAAUGCGUAGAUAUGCGGAGGAACACCGAUGGCGAAGGCAGUCCCCUGGGCCUGUACUGACGCUCAUGCACGAAAGCGUGGGGAGCAAACAGG